UAUGAGAAAUGCCUUGGUUCAGUAGAAAGUUUCUGUUUUCUGAGUUUUGAGUGCUGCCACCCCUAUCAAGUGCCAAAAAGCUGAGCAAAAUCUCCUUGGUCAUUGAAUCCACAGGCUCCAGAAUAAGUGAGUUCAAUCAGCUUUUAUUGGCUCUUGGGAAGGUGACACAGCUCUGGCAACAUCAGCAUCCACUCCCUCCCUGCUUAUUUGCUCACUAGGGGGCUGAUUUCCAAUUAUUACACCCCUUCAGAUAGUCCUAUGUUCUCAGAUCCACUAGAUGCCUCCCCUACAGAAAUUGAGGACCUGCCAAGGAUCUCAUUAUCUGCCUCCAUCAACCUAUGGCCCAGAGGAAGCAUUUGUAUAGUCAAGCUGCUGCUAUCCUUUGGGGUUUGCCAAUCCCCUCUGCGGGUGCCACUGAACCUCAUGUUGGUCUUGCAGGGGCUGCAGGGCAAGAACAGAUGGCCCACCAAGGGCACCAGGGGCAUAUGAGUCCAAGCAGAUCUUGUCGUAUUGGAUUUAGACAACGGACCUUGCAGUGUGUUGUGGGUGGAGGCAUAUGCAGAACUGAGUGGAUGGGCAAGUGCUAACUGAAGGCACAGUGAAGCAGUUACUUCAAGGAGCAGUUGUUGGGAGGCAGAAAAACCAGCCUUGCAUUGGAGGACAGAGCUGUGUGCAAAGCAGACAGACGAUCCUGAACCCCUGAAGCUAGCCUGCUGCUUCCAGAUGCAACAAGGACAUUGCCCCAUCAUCAGCACUGAGAAGAUUUCAACUAGCUGGCUUUUUAGCAUGGAGUGGGAGGAAGUACCA